rnacentral:rRNA from 1 species
AGUGAACGCUGGCGGUAGGCCUAACACAUGCAAGUCGAACGGCAGCACAGUAAGAGCUUGCUCUUACGGGUGGCGAGUGGCGGACGGGUGAGGAAUACAUCGGAAUCUACUUUUUCGUGGGGGAUAACGUAGGGAAACUUACGCUAAUACCGCAUACGACCUACGGGUGAAAGCAGGGGAUCUUCGGACCUUGCGCGAUUGAAUUAGCCGAUGUCGGAUUAGCUAGUUGGCGGGGUAAAGGCCCACCAAGGCGACGAUCCGUAGCUGGUCUGAGAGGAUGAUCAGCCACACUGGAACUGAGACACGGUCCAGACUCCUACGGGAGGAAGCAGUGGGGAAUAUUGGACAAUGGGCGCAAGCCUGAUCCAGCCAUACCGCGUGGGUGAAGAAGGCCUUCGGGUUGUAAAGCCCUUUUGUUGGGAAAGAAAAGCAGCAGGUUAAUACCCCGCUGUUCUGACGGUACCCAAAGAAUAAGCACCGGCUAACUUCGUG